ensembl:lncRNA
AAGUUUGGCUUCUGUGUUGGAUUAUGUUCUUCAGCGACUGUGCUGUGUCAAGUCCCUUGGCUUUUUUUCAGAGUUGGGCCUGAGGCCAGAAAUGUGUCACCAUCUCAAGGUUUUUGCUUUGAUUGUUUCUGAGCUGUUCAUAAACUGCCCAUCCUUGCCCAGGAGACAAGAGUGCAAAUGCUGGGUGUAAGGAGUCAGUGCAUUUCUGGAGGAUUUGUUUGUAUUAUAUAGAGCUAUAUUGCUGAUUAAUUGUUUGAGGAGAAGUAUUUAAUUUCUAAACUUCAGCUUGUUUGCUAGGCUUCUGUCAGUUUUGACAUGCUGAUCCUUAUGUUUUUGUGUAACUUUUAGUUUUCUUUCCUUUUCAUUUGAUGUUAUCUGAUUGGUUUGGAUAACUUUAAGAACUGUCCCUCCUUCAAGCUUGUCUGUUAUAUUUCCAUAUGGUUCUAAUGUUCACUUGUGAUUCUUGUACUGGUGUUUAACAAAAUCAGCUGUGGUGAGUAUAGAAGUUGUUUUGUGUUUAUUUUUGUGUAUUUCAGCAGCAAGGAAUUACAAAUACAUGAUACACAUUUUGCAAAUACAUGUGUUGAUAUAUAAGGGGGCCUUCUCCAUCCAGUAGGAAUGCUGGGUGCAUAAGGCUGCCUCCCAAAAAAGAUUUCUCCACAUCAGACCUUCUUGUGUAUGGGCAUAUUACCCUAGAAUCACACAGUUCUCUUUAUUAUAUUCUCAUGCAACUUCAGAUGUGUAAUGACAAAGAAAAUAUCUAUGCUUAUAUGUAUAUUGCAGUAUAUAAUCUCAGUGUUCUGCAGACAGUAGUGAAUUAAGGUUCCUGAUGGUGUUCUGCUGUUUGUGUUGUGGCAAAUGAGAGGAUGGGAACACAAAAUUACCUCCACAGAGACCCUAAGAGAAGAGGAGGAGCUAGAACCAUAUCCUUCUCACCUUUGCUCUGGAGAUAAAGGAAGUGUUCUCAAAUGAAAUAUGUCUCUCAGUGUUAUUAUCUGACAAAAUGUGGUACCUGCACUACUGGCAAUGGUGUCCUCUCAUCUCCAUGGUCCCUCCCAAAGCAGGAUAGCCUGAAGACUAGGACAAAAUCCUGUGCAUUACAGCGGUGUUGGCAUAUCUUGAGAGACCAGAACUGUGAUGAUGCCACAUAUUCCAAAUUUCUUCUGAUUUCAUGUUUUCUGUGCUGAUUUUUAAGAUCUGUCAGAGGUACGGUUUUCAGUGGAAUCUGUCAUGUUUAAGAGUUAUCAUAAUUAUCUUGAAAAAGUUCCGGAUUUGUGAAAUAGUUGCUUGCUUUCAAGCUUUUUACAGUCAGCAGUAUACAACAGAGUAAUGUAGUUUAUUCUUGGGCCUGGAAACUUAUUCUACUACCUAAGUGCUUAAUCAAAUUCACUCGUAGUACAUAGCAUGUUUUCCUUGCUUAGCAGUGAAUUUAAGAAAGCCUUUUACAGGUGUUUCUCAUUCUGAUAUAACAUUCUACCAUAGCUCAGUACCAUUUUUAUUCAUAAACUUUCUGUCCAUAGAAUUGCAUACUUUUCAAGUAACUUUGAUAUUGAACAGGAUUUGGAAGACAAAGUAUUUCAGCUACCCUUAACAACUUAAGAGUUAGACACCACAGAAUAUUGUCUGCUGUGUCUUGUAAAAAAUGGAACAUUUGCAAACACUUCACUUGGUUUAUAAAAAAAUGAAGUUCUCAAGGACAAUGACAGCAGAAGUAGAAAUCAUGUAACUUUUUUUUUUUGCCAAGGCUGAUACAAAAAUUAUAUUUGGAAGAGAACUAUGUUGUGAAGCACCUGAGAGGCCACUGCUAGUAAAUGUGAAUAACUUCAUAUAUUGAAAAGCAUGAAUCUGCUGAAAAAAAAUGGUUUGAAUUCCAGUCUCCAAUUUGACAAAUUAAAUAUCUAUUAAAAUGUAUAUUGAAAAUUCCAGUGUUGCUAUGGUUACCACAGCUUCCUUGGUUCCAGGGCUGCAGUGCAUUUCACUUCAAAUAAGAAUUCCUUUCCCUCUUCUUCUUGAAGUAUAAUCAAAUAGAACUUUCAGAAGUGCUUUUAAUUUGCAUGCAUUAAUUGGUGAAACUUGUUGCCACAAAGAAUCAAACCCCCAGAAAUAUAGCUGUUACCAAAACAUAUACUUCUAUUUCACAGCAUCUUUGAAUUAAAUCUUAUAAAAUUGUAUUCUUUGGUUCUGAAC